rnacentral:rRNA from 1 species
AUUGAACGCUGGCGGCAGGCCUAACACAUGCAAGUCGAGCGGAGCGGCGGACGGGUGAGUAAUGCCUAGGAAUCUGCCUGGUAGUGGGGGAUAACGUCCGGCAACGGGCGCUAAUACCGCAUACAAUCAGAUGAGCCUAGGUCGGAUUAGCUAGUUGGUGGGGUAAGGGCCUACCAAGGCGACGAUCCCUAGCUGGGCUGAGAGGGAGACCAGCCACACUGGAACUGAGACACGGUCCACACGCCUACGGGAGGCAGCAGUGGGGAAUAUUGCACAAUGGGCGCAAGCCUGAUGCAGCCAUGCCGCGGGUAUGAAGAAGGCCUUCGGGUUUUAAAGUACGUUCAGCGGGGAGGCGUUACCCGCAGAAGAAGCACCGGCUAACUCCGUGCCAGCAGCCGCGGUAAUUC